AAGAACCUUACCAGGUCUUGACAUCCCUGACACCCAAGAGAUUGGGCGUUCCCCCUUCGGGGGACAGGGUGACAGGUGGUGCAUGGUUGUCGUCAGCUCGUGUCGUGAGAUGUUGGGUUAAGUCCCGCAACGAGCGCAACCCUUAUCUUUAAUUGCCAGCAUUCAGUUGGGCACUUUAAAGAGACUGCCGGUGUUAAACCGGAGGAAGGUGGGGAUGACGUCAAGUCCUCAUGGCCUUUAUGCUUAGGGCUACACACGUGCUACAAUGGGUGGUACAAAGAGAAGCCAACUCGCGAGAGCGCGCCAAUCUCAAAAAGCCAUCCUCAGUUCGGAUUGGAGUCUGCAACUCGACUCCAUGAAGUUGGAAUCGCUAGUAAUCGCGGAUCAGCAUGCCGCGGUGAAUACGUUCCCGGGCCUU
rnacentral:rRNA from 1 species